UCUAGGAGGGAAAUGGAAGCUCACAUGUAGAAAAGCUGAAACUGGGAAGAUUCUUGAAUGCCCCUCCAUAGUUUCAUAAAGAGCAAACUGCUGCGAAGAGAAAGCAUGAUCAGCCUGUCUACUGAGAGAAGAUUUGGGACUUAAGGAGCAGCCUACAUUUCAUGCAGAGACAUGGUCAGAGUCGUUGCUCAUCUAAGAGUGGGCUUUUUGUGAUGCACCUGUUUGGGCAAUUCUACUCCUCUAGACAUCAAAUAAGCUGAACUCUGCAUAAAACUCUCAACUUCAAUGCUGAAAUAUGAGCUAUUUGUUAUUACCUUGGGUCUCAAGACUUCUGAAAAUGGAGUGGAGAAAUAAACUGAGUCAUGAGAGCAAAUACGUAUCCAAAUGCGAUCUUCCUGAAUCAGCUUUCAAAUAUUAGAAUUUGAAAAUGUGCAUAUGAAAAUGGAAGGUCCAUAGACAUUGUAGAGAGAACCUUAAGACCACUGCAGAUGAUUCCAUUUAACCAUCCAGAACGGGACUUAAUUACACAAGUCAUCAGGAAAAGUCUCUGAGGCCAAGGAGGUGAUCAUAUUCCUUCUGUUUGACUCCAUUGACUUAAACCUGUGAAUACAGCUCAACUUGUAUUUCUAUGUCUAAAACAAUAACAAAAUGGAUUUUGCUGAAAAUUUGCAAUGUUUUUAUAUUUUAUGGCAACCUAUUGUAUCCUAAAAGCUCUUAAAGACAGACUACUUGUGUUUCUUACGUGCUCCUCAAAACAAUUGAAAUCGAAUAUCACUCUGUUUCACAGAUGAAGUUCAAACAGCAUUUGAACUGCAGCAGGAUGUCCAGAUUUAAAAAUAAAAAAAUAGAGCUGUGAUUUGAGACAGGAUAAAAAAACCCACUUUUAAAAUGAAUAGAUCCCAAAGGAGUCCAAGAACAGCUGCAACAGAGUUAUUUAGAUGCUCUAUUUAAAUAAAGCUUGCGGUGAACAAGGCCUGGAGGGUCCUAUUCAGUAGCUGUGCACUAAACCUCAGUAAUAUAUAUUUUUAAGAACUCCCUAGGUAGUUCUGUGUACACUCUGAAUUAAGGCCAUCUGGUACAACCCUUACAGAAAUUGACCACCAAAUGGACACUGCUGGGGCAUGAUAAUUAGCAGUAAUCAAUUUCGUUUAUAGGUGGCAACCAUACUUGACCAUCUCCUCCCUUCCUGUCAGUGUCUCAUUAAAGAUGAAGGGAGCCCUGCCGUGUUCAAUAGCUUCUUGGGACAAGCUGGUAAUGCAGUGAUGAGCUUGAAUAAAGGCGUUUUUGCAAACUGAGGGAUGUAGUAAUUUCAAGUGACAUUAUUCACUGAGCAACCAUAAAAUAAUAAGUUUGGUAACAGCAACCACAUCAUUACUCAGCUGGGUGGCAUUUGAAUUGGUGCCCUAACAAGCUCCCACUGUUUUGUUUCCAAAACUGAGUCUUUCUUAAGACACUGUGAAAAUUAAUGUGACUGGAAAGAUAAUAGUUAGGCAAAAUUUUACUAAUUUCUUGACACUAAAAGAAGACACUAUACUUUGCCAUGUCUUUUAGAUUGUGGCUAUCUAUUUCCUACAAAUGUUAGAAAAAUGCAGACAUUUUGUUAAAGGGUAUUUCCUGUUUUGAGCUCUUUGAUAUAAAUGCACCCUUCCACUUUUUUCUUUCAGAGUAUAUUUAAACUUAAACUCUUCAAUUAAGUUUUUGAGAUUAUCACAUAACUACAUUUCUCUCUUCCUUUUUUCCCUAUCCAAACCUCCCAUACACCCCUUACUGCUGUACUUCAAAUCCAUGGCCUCUAUUUUCCACAUUACUGCAUGCAUAUUUGCUUAUAAUAUAUAUUCAUAAGCAUAACCUGCUUAGUCUAUAAAUAAAGUUACUUGUAUGUAUAUUUUCAGGACCAACCAUUUGGCCUUACAGAACCAUUUGGUUUGUACUUACCAAAACUUUUGUUUUGUUUUGUUUUGUUUUGUUUUGUUUGGUUUGGUUUGGUUUGGUUUGGUUUGGUUGAGGUAGGAUUUCUUUAUGUAAUCUGGACUGUUCUGGACUCAAUUUGUAGACCAAGCUGUCCUCGAGCUCCCAAAGACCCACCCUAAUUCUGCCUCCCUGAGUAUUGGGAUUGCAGAUGUGUGCCACCAUGCCCGGCUUCUUUCCAAACUCUUAAUGUAACUUUCUUAAGUGACAGUUUGAACACCAAAUUUCUUGUAAUAGAUUCUAUCAAUAUUUGUGAAAUGAUUUUUUUUUAAUCUAAAGACCAUUUAUCUUGACCAUCUGUUUACAGGUAAGUACAAAAGGCAAAUCCUAUAGCUUAAUGAUUUAAUAUGUAUGUACAUAUAUAUAACAUUCAAAUUCUCAAAUAUAAAAACACUACGAGAGACUAUAUACAACGAGAUUAGCAGCUCUUACAGUACAAAUUUAUUGAAAAUUUAUUGGAAAACACCAGGGUCAAGAUCAUUUGAAUGGUUCUCUUUAUUUUAGUUAAAAGGAGGUUUAGGAAACUUUUAUUCUUGAAAAAACACUGAUUCACACAUGUAUAUUCAUUUGGACAAUACUUAAUAUAAACCAUUAUUUAAAAUUACAGAUAGCUCAUGUAAUAAAAAUGCAAAACUCUGUUGUUUCCUUUGUCUUUUAAGAAUUAUUUCCAUGUGUUGUAAUUUACCAUGGUAUAAUUUGUUUAGAAAAUUAAAGUAAUAAAACCAUG